rnacentral:rRNA from 1 species
UACAGAGGUCUCAAGCGUUGUUCGGAUUCAUUGGGCGUAAAGGGUGCGUAGGUGGCGCUGUAAGUCAGGUGUGAAAUUUCGGAGCUUAACUCGAACUGCAUUUGAUACUGCGGUGCUUGAGGACUGGAGAGGAGACUGGAAUUUACGGUGUAGCAGUGAAAUGCGUAGAGAUCGUAAGGAAGACCAGUGGCGAAGGCGGGUCUCGUGGACAGUUCCUGACACUGAGGCAGCGAAGGCCAGGGGAGCAAACGGG